rnacentral:rRNA from 1 species
UCAGAACGAACGCUGGCGGCAGGCCUAACACAUGCAAGUCGAACGGAUCCUUCGGGAUUAGUGGCAGACGGGUGAGUAACGCGUGGGAAGCUACCUUGUGGUAGGGAACAACAGUUGGAAACGACUGCUAAUACCCUAUGAGCCCUAUGGGGGAAAGAUUUAUCGCCAUGAGAUGUGCCCGCGUUAGAUUAGCUAGUUGGUAAGGUAAUGGCUUACCAAGGCGACGAUCUAUAGCUGGUCUGAGAGGAUGAUCAGCCACACUGGGACUGAGACACGGCCCAGACUCCUACGGGAGGCAGCAGUGGGGAAUAUUGGACAAUGGGGGCAACCCUGAUCCAGCCAUGCCGCGUGAGUGAUGACGGCCUUAGGGUUGUAAAGCUCUUUCAGCAGUGAAGAUAAUGACAUUAACUGCAGAAGAAGCCCCGGCUAACUUCGUGCCAGCAGCCGCGGUAAUACGAAGGGGGCUAGCGUUGUUCGGAAUCACUGGGCGUAAAGCGUACGUAGGCGGACUGAUCAGUCAGGGGUGAAAUCCCGGGGCUCAACCCCGGAACUGCCUUUGAUACUGUCAGUCUUGAGAUCGAGAGAGGUGAGUGGAACUCCGAGUGUAGAGGUGAAAUUCGUAGAUAUUCGGAAGAACACCAGUGGCGAAGGCGGCUCACUGGCUCGAUACUGAC